UGGGGAAUAUUGGACAAUGGGGGAAACCCUGAUCCAGCGACGCCGCGUGAGUGAAGAAGUAUUUCGGUAUGUAAAGCUCUAUCAGCAGGGAAGAAAAUGACGGUACCUGACUAAGAAGUCCCGGCUAACUACGUGCCAGCAGCCGCGGUAAUACGUAGGGGGCAAGCGUUAUCCGGAUUUACUGGGUGUAAAGGGAGCGCAGACGGCGAAGCAAGUCUGAAGUGAAAUGCAUGGGCCCAACCCAUGAAUUGCUUUGGAAACUGUUUGGCUUGAGUGUCGGAGGGGUAAGCGGAAUUCCUAGUGUAGCGGUGAAAUGCGUAGAUAUUAGGAGGAACACCGGAGGCGAAGGCGGCUUACUGGACGACAACUGACGUUGAGGCUCGAGGGCGUGGGGAGCAAACAGGAUUAGAUACCCUGGUAGUCCACGCAGUAAACGAUGAAUACUUGGUGUCGGGGAGGUAAACUCUUCGGUGCCGCAAGCAAACGCAUUAAGUAUUCCACCUGGGGAGUACGUUCGCAAGGAUG
rnacentral:rRNA from 1 species